UUUGUACCGCGAAGUAAAAAAUAAUGUGAUUGAUGGCUUACAUAUUUAAUGCUUAACGAUUCAAAGUAAGGCGUUUUCACAUAGUUGAGCUUACGCGCGCCUUUACUCAAUAUACAUGCAUAUAUAUAUAUAUAUAUAUAUAUAUAAAUUUAUGUCAUUCACAUCACAUAUCUUCUAUGUGGCCGCGUGUGUGUGUAAAGGAUACGAUUUUUUCUCUCUGACUUUGUGUAAAUAUAUUAUAUAUAGAAAAUGUGUAGCAAUAAAGUUUAGUCUCUUGUAAUUAUUGCUGCAUAUCAAGGGUCGCAUAUACAGUAAUGUGCUGCUCUUGAUAACACUCUUUUUUUUUCACUAAAAACAUUUGUGUUUAUAUUACGCGACACUUUUUUACAGUUCAUCUACUUGAUGAUGACUAUUUUCAAUAGUGUUGAGUGCGAGUGAAGUGCAGUUGUACAAGUGUAGUGCAUAUGUAAAUACACUUACGUAUGCGUGCAUACACGCAACCACAUUCUUAAUUGUUGUUUACAUAUCUGCUGUUAUUGAGUAAUUUGAUAUAUAGACUUCCUUAUCUAUGGCAUACAAGUUAAAUAAAGAAGGAAGAAGAAGAGAGAGCAUCGUAUGAUCACAUAUAGUAUGCGAUUUCCAUGUGAUCUCCGGAAAACACCUAUACAUUUUGUAUUCGAACAAUACAAAGAAAACGAACGAUUUUUCCAUACUUAGCGAAAGGAUUUAGUGUAAGUAAGUGUUUAUUGUGCGGGAGCAACAAUGAAGUGAAUAAAUAAUGCAAGAUGAGCUAAAAUAGCAUCAAUAAAGCAUAGAAACAAAAGCAAAGUGGCCAAAAUAAAUAUUCAUGAAAAUGGCAAACAAGCUGCGAUCAUAAUCAAGAAGCAAAACUGAAAGAGAAGAUGAGGAAAAUCCACAAAAUUUAAAUAAAAGUCAAAAAAAAAAAAAAAA